UGGGGAAUAUUGGACAAUGGGGGCAACCCUGAUCCAGCGAUGCCGCGUGUGUGAAGAAGGCCUGCGGGUUGUAAAGCACUUUAGUUGGGGAGGAAAGGUAUGUACUGCAUAAGUGCAUGCUGUGACGUUACCCAAAGAAUAAGCACCGGCUAACUCUGUGCCAGCAGCCGCGGUAAUACGAAGGGAGCUAGCGUUGUUCGGAAUCACUGGGCGUAAAGCGCACGUAGGCGGAUAGUUAAGUCAGGGGUGAAAUCCUGGGGCUCAACCCCAGAACUGCCUUUGAUACUGGCUGUCUCGAGGUCGAGAGAGGUUGGUGGAAUUCCUAGUGUAGAGGUGAAAUUCGUAGAUAUUAGGAAGAACACCAGUGGCGAAGGCGGCCAACUGGCUCGAUACUGACGCUGAGGUGCGAAAGCGUGGGGAGCAAACAGGAUUAGAUACCCCUGUAGUCCCUGAGCGGGCUGGCAAGGCGCAU
rnacentral:rRNA from 1 species